UUUCGCAAUGCCCGAAAGGGUGACGAAGCGACGCCGCGUGCGGGAAGAAGGCCUUCGGGUUGUAAACCGCUGUCGGGAGUUAAGAAAUGUAAGGAUGUUAAUAGCAUCUUUGCUUGACUAAGGCUCCGGAGGAAGCCACGGCUAACUCUGUGCCAGCAGCCGCGGUAAUACAGAGGCGGCAAGCGUUGUUCGGAAUUAUUGGGCGUAAAGAGCACGUAGGCGGCCGUGUAAGUCGGUUGUGAAAGCCUUCCGCUCAACGGGAGAACAGCAUCCGAUACUGCAUGGCUUGAGUGCGGGAGGGGAGAGUGGAACUUCUGGUGGAGCGGUGAAAUGCGUAGAUAUCAGAAGGAACGCCGGCGGCGAAAGCGGCUCUCUGGCCCAUAACUGACGCUGAGUGUGCGAAAGCUAGGGGAGCAAACGGGAUUAGAUACCCCGGUAGUCCUAGCCGUAAACGAUGGGCACUAAGUAGAGGGGUUUU
rnacentral:rRNA from 1 species